UACAGAGGUCCCAAGCGUUGUUCGGAUUCACUGGGCGUAAAGGGUGCGUAGGCGGCCAGGUAAGUCUGCUGUGAAAUCCCGCAGCUCAACUGCGGAACUGCAUUGGAAACUAUCUGGCUAGAGGAAUGGAGGGGAGACUGGAAUUCUCGGUGUAGCAGUGAAAUGCGUAGAUAUCGAGAGGAACACCAGUGGCGAAGGCGAGUCUCUGGACAUAUCCUGACGCUGAGGCACGAAAGCCAGGGGAGCAAACGGG
rnacentral:rRNA from 1 species